rnacentral:rRNA from 1 species
UACGUAGGUGGCAAGCGUUGUCGGGAAUUAUUGGGCGUAAAGCGCGCGCAGGCGGUCCUUUAAGUCUGAUGUGAAAGCCCACGGCUCAACCGUGGAGGGUCAUUGGAAACUGGAGGACUUGAGUACAGAAGAGGAAAGCGGAAUUCCACGUGUAGCGGUGAAAUGCGUAGAGAUGUGGAGGAACACCAGUGGCGAAGGCGGCUUUCUGGGCCUGUACUGACGCUGAGGAGCGAAAGCGUGGGGAGCGAACAGG